rnacentral:rRNA from 1 species
UACAGAGGUCUCAAGCGUUGUUCGGAUUCAUUGGGCGUAAAGGGUGCGUAGGCGGCGCGGUAAGUCGGGUGUGAAAUCUCGGAGCUUAACUCCGAAACUGCAUUCGAUACUGCCGUGCUUGAGGACUGGAGAGGAGACUGGAAUUUACGGUGUAGCGGUGAAAUGCGUUGAGAUCGGAAGGAACGCCCGUGGCGAAAGCGAGGUCCUGGACGUUUUUCUGACGCUGAGACGCGAAAGCCAGGGGAGCGAACGGG